AUGCAAUGCGGUGUUUGAAAUUAAAUGAAGAUAUGAUCUGCUUGAAAUGCUUUCUCAUGUGUUUCAUGCCAGUGGAAUUCAAUGUUCUUCUUUAUAAGUUCUCUCAGUGGAGCGGUGACGUCCGAAAUAUUUGGUGCAAACUUGGCGAUGAAAUUAACCAUGCCCAACAACCGUUGGACGUCCUGCUUGUUUUCUGGUUUGGGGUAGUUCUUGAUUGCUUCAACCUUACUCUCAUCAGAACACCUCUUGUGCGAACAUUACUCCAAAGGGUAUUACAGUAAAACGAUAUCGACCAAAUGGCGUAUUAAACGUCGUCAUGUAAGAGCUCUCCUCGUCAAGAGGCAUUUGCCAAAAUCUCGAGUUUGCAUCCAGUUUGCUGAAGAAUUUGGCAUUGGUCAAACGGCUGGUAAUCUCUUGCUGGGUGGGAAGCUGGUAAUGUUCUCUGAGCAAAGCUUUGUUGAGGUCACGUGGAUCGAUGCAAAUGCGUAACUUUCCAGAGCGUUUUUCAUUAACUACCAUCGAGUUGACCCAUGCUGUCGGCUCAUUCACUUUCUUAAUUAUUCCUUUGGAUUCCAUAUCUAUUAGCUCGUUGUGGACACGUUCUCUCAGUGCUGAAUGUGUAUCCCCUUGUAAUGUGUAUCCAUAUUUUUUAGUUCUAUUGUUGAUGGUGUGUAAACGUGAAAUUUUAAGUUUGUUUCAUGAUGACAAUAUGCAACUCUGUUAUCAUCA